rnacentral:lncRNA from 1 species
GUGCAUGAAUUAUUUCCUUUGUUGGGAAUAACCUUCCUCUUGUCUUUUGUCAGGCUACAGUAGGGGAGACUCUUCAGGCAAUAAAGUCUUCCAUAUUAUCACCCUCUCUAGCCCAGGGCAAGCUUCCAUCUAUGGCUUAAUGCUCAUUGUCAAUCACCCACAAAUGUAAUCCUAUUUAGGUGGCCCCAAAGCACGUGUGAACUGAUUUUCUAAACUAAUUGGACAAAUUGGUUUUCUAGAUUGGUUUUCUGGGGUUUUGAUGGCUUUAUUCUUUGAGUUUUAAUCAAGGUUGUUAAGUUGACAGUAUUUGACAGCACCUUGUUUUCAG